UCUUGGUCAUUUAGAGGAAGUAAAAGUCGUAACAAGGUUUCCGUAGGUGAACCUGCGGAAGGAUCACUAAAGAAUUCGCCCUUCGGGGCUCUCUUUAUUCACACACCCCUGUGCACUUUGGCCACCUCUUUGUUGAGGUGUGUCUUUUUAAUUACCAUACCCUAUAAACACAAGUUAUUGAAUGUAAAAUCGUUAUAAACUAAUAUAACUUUCAACAACGGAUCUCUUGGUUCUCGCAUCGAUGAAGAACGCAGCGAAUUGCGAUAAGUAAUGUGAAUUGCAGAAUUCAGUGAAUCAUCGAAUCUUUGAACGCAUCUUGCGCUCUUUGGUAUUCCGAAGAGCAUGCCUGUUUGAGUGUCAUGAAACUCUCACCUCCAAUCUUUUUUAACUAGAAGGUUGGAGCGUGGACGUGAGUGCUGCUGGUGCCCUGGUUGCAUCGGCUCACUUGAAAUUCAUUAGCUGAAUCCUUUAAAGUAGGUUCUACUCGACGUGAUAAGAUCUCCGUCGAGGACAGUGCUUCGGCAUUGGCCAACGAUAAAGUUGAUACGCUUCUAAUUAGCGCAGACUUCGAGUGCUGGCAAUUUUGACAACUUGGCCUCAAAUCAGGUAGGACUACCCACUGAACUUAAGCAUAUCAAUA
rnacentral:rRNA from 1 species